rnacentral:rRNA from 1 species
UGGCAAGCGUUGUCCGGAUUUAUUGGGCGUAAAGGGAACGCAGGCGGUCUUUUAAGUCUGAUGUGAAAGCCUUCGGCUUAACCGGAGUAGUGCAUUGGAAACUGUGAGACUUGAGUGCAGAAGAGGAGAGUGGAACUCCAUGUGUAGCGGUGGAAUGCGUAGAUAUAUGGAAGAACACCAGUGGCGAAGGCGGCUCUCUGGUCUGUAACUGACGCUGAGGCUCGAAAGCAUGGGUAGCGAACA